AAUGGUACAGGCAGCAUCACGCUGCACAAUGGUUUCCAGGCAGUGAAAGAGGGUGAUUCAGCAAGCCACUCUUCUUCUAUUUUCUUUAACCUCCCCUUCACUUUUUAUUUUUAUGGGGGUGGGUGGUGCUUGCUAUAUGCUUACCUUUUUCUUUUCUUUUUUCAUUUUUACAAAUUUCCUUUUUUGUCCUCACCCCUCAAUUCCUAGGGGCUUGAGUGAGUUUAAGAUUGGGUUUUCUUGGAAAUCACCUGUCCAUCGUUAAUUUUAAACAAUCUCCAUAUCUCCAAAGAAUCUCUUCCAUGUUAGUCUGGAAUGUGGUUAAUGAAAAACAAGUAGGGAGGAUUUCUGGGGCAAACACUGCCGGAUCAGGAUCGUAGUUCUCAGGCACGGAAUGGCUAGUGUGAGAAACACCAACGGCAGGCCCAUCUCAGAUCUUCACUAUGGCAACUUAUGCAAGAAACUGUUGAAUUAGACCCGUUUCCUAUAGAUGAGAAACCAUACAAGCUGUGGAUAAAUAGCAAGGGAAGGAACUGCUGAG
rnacentral:sRNA from 1 species